GACGAACCGUGCAAACGUUAUUCGGAAUUACUGGGCUUGAAGCGCACGUAGGCGGCGUUGUAAGUGUCGGGUGAAAUCCCACGGCUCACCCGUGGAACUGCCCGGCAUACUGCGAUGCUAGAGUGUGGUAGGGGAGAGCGGAACUCCUGGUGGAGCGGUGAAAUGCGUAGAUAUCAGGAGGAACACCGGUGGCGAAGGCGGCUCUCUGGUCCACAACUGACGCUGAGGUGCGAAAGCUAGGGGAGCAAACGGG
rnacentral:rRNA from 1 species